rnacentral:misc_RNA from 1 species
AAAGUCGUAACAAGGUUUCCGUAGGUGAACCUGCGGAAGGAUCAUUAAUCGAAUGAACAUGUCUCUCAGCAUGAUAUUUCAAAUCCCACCUGUGUAUCUUACCUGUUGCUUCCGUGCUGCACAUGCUGCCAAGGCGUGUCUCCUGGUCCCGCGUACCGAGUGCUACGACGCGGAACCUGGUGAGUCGGCACGGGAGGUUAACCUUAAACUCUUGCCUCUGAAUGCCUUCUGUCUGAACUGUAGUACAUUGGAAAAAAGUUAAAACUUUCAACAACGGAUCUCUUGGUUCUC